AUGAACGCUGGCGGCGUGCUUAACACAUGCAAGUCGAACGAAGCACUUAAGAUUGAUUCUUCGGAUGACGUCUUUUGUGACUUAGUGGCGGACGGGUGAGUAACGCGUGGGUAACCUGCCUCACACAGGGGGAUAACAGUUAGAAAUGACUGCUAAUACCGCAUAACCCGAUAGGAUCGCAUGAUCCAGACGGAAAAGAUUUAUCGGUGUGAGAUGGACCCGCGUCUGAUUAGCUAGUUGGUGAGGUAACGGCCCACCAAGGCGACGUUCAGUAGCCGGCCUGAGAGGGUGAACGGCCACAUUGGGACUGAGACACGGCCCAAACUCCUACGGGAGGCAGCAGUGGGGAAUAUUGCACAAUGGGGGAAACCCUGAUGCAGCAACGCCGCGUGAGUGAAGAAAUAUUUCGGUAUGUAAAGCUCUGUCAGCAGGGAAGAAAAUGACGGUACCUGACUAAGAAGCCCCGGCUAACUACGUG
rnacentral:rRNA from 1 species